rnacentral:lncRNA from 1 species
UUUCUAGGGACCCAUGAGAUGAUCAUUUUCCUUCUCUCUUGUAUUUUUAUCUAUCUACCCAUGUUUUACUUCUUUGAUGUAAAACUAUUUUCCAGAUAUUAGUGACAAGAUAUUUCCAUACAUGAUAAAUGUUUAAUACUUCCAAAUAUUUGCAAAUAAGAACUCUAAAAUUCCUCUGAAAUAAAAACAAAUCAUAUGCACGAGCAUUACAUGCAUCAUGUG